AAAUUGAAGAGUUUGAUCAUGGCUCAGAUUGAACGCUGGCGGCAGGCCUAACACAUGCAAGUCGAGCGGUAGCACAGAGAGCUUGCUCUCGGGUGACGAGCGGCGGACGGGUGAGUAAUGUCUGGGAAACUGCCUGAUGGAGGGGGAUAACUACUGGAAACGGUAGCUAAUACCGCAUAAUGUCGCAAGACCAAAGUGGGGGACCUUCGGGCCUCAUGCCAUCAGAUGUGCCCAGAUGGGAUUAGCUAGUAGGUGGGGUAACGGCUCACCUAGGCGACGAUCCCUAGCUGGUCUGAGAGGAUGACCAGCCACACUGGAACUGAGACACGGUCCAGACUCCUACGGGAGGCAGCAGUGGGGAAUAUUGCACAAUGGGCGCAAGCCUGAUGCAGCCAUGCCGCGUGUGUGAAGAAGGCCUUCGGGUUGUAAAGCACUUUCAGCGGGGAGGAAGGCGUUAAGGUUAAUAACCUUGUCGAUUGACGUUACCCGCAGAAGAAGCACCGGCUAACUCCGUGCCAGCAGCCGCGGUAAUACGGAGGGUGCAAGCGUUAAUCGGAAUUACUGGGCGUAAAGCGCACGCAGGCGGUCUGUCAAGUCGGA
rnacentral:rRNA from 1 species